GCCCAGGUGGCGGAAUUGGUAGACGCGCUGGCUUCAGGUGCCAGUGACCGAAAGGUCGUGGAGGUUCGAGUCCUCUCCUGGGCACCA
rnacentral:tRNA from 24 species